AUGAUCCAUCUGAGUGCUGACCAGUGGCCUGAAUUAAGGCUACAGCCUUGGGAAUGGACUCAAGAUUAUGAAAAUAGAGAAUAGCAGUACCAGGAAACCAGUUUGAGGUCACAGAGUGGGAGUUGUUUUCCCUGCAUUUUUAAUCUGUGUGGAUUAUCUAAGGCCCCUAGAGAACAUGGGAAAGAAGAAGUACUGGGAGGAACACUGGUGGACU
rnacentral:lncRNA from 1 species